AGCUUGACGGAUGAUCUCUUCGGAAUGAAAUCAGAUAUGACUUAGUGGCGGACGGGUGAGUAACACGUGAGCAACCUGCCUUUCAGAGGGGGAUAACGGCUGGAAACGGUCGCUAAUACCGCAUGACGUGUUCGGAUGGCAUCAUCUGAACAUCAAAGAUUUAUCGCUGAAAGAUGGGCUCGCGUCUGAUUAGAUAGUUGGUGGGGUAACGGCCUACCAAGUCUACGAUCAGUAGCCGGACUGAGAGGUUGAACGGCCACAUUGGGACUGAGAUACGGCCCAGACUCCUACGGGAGGCAGCAGUGGGGAAUAUUGCACAAUGGGGGAAACCCUGAUGCAGCAACGCCGCGUGAAGGAUGACGGUUUUCGGAUUGUAAACUUCUUUUCUUAGUGACGAAGACAGUGACGGUAGCUAAGGAAUAAGCAUCGGCUAACUACGUGCCAGCAGCCGCGGUAAUACGUAGGAUGCAAGCGUUAUCCGGAUUUACUGGGUGUAAAGGGAGCGCAGGCGGGACUGCAAGUUGGAUGUGAAAUACCGUGGCUUAACCACGGAACUGCAUCCAAAACUGUAGUUCUUGAGUGAAGUAGAGGCAAGCGGAAUUCCGAGUGUAGCGGUGAAAUGCGUAGAUAUUCGGAGGAACACCAGUGGCGAAGGCGGCUUGCUGGGCUUU
rnacentral:rRNA from 1 species